AUUUAAGCUCAGGCCAAGGUUCUCAGCUCUUUCUUGCCCUUGGUGCAGCCAUGCUCAUCUCCAGCAUCGCCUCUGGUCACACUGCUAGGAUUGAUAUCAGCUGUGCAGUGCAGUUCCAUUUCAGAUACUAACGCAUCUUCUGCAGGCAAUUAUUUGCCUCAGGCUACAGUGUCUACUACUGAAAUUCAGUGAAAUGAAAGAAUUUGUACAUACAGCAUUCAACAUGGAUUAUUGAAGUCUGUUCCUGUCUUGAACUGCUUGAACGGCAGAAGACGUGGAGCUGGAAAUAAGAUGUGUGUGGGACUACUCCAAAACUGCCAGUUUCCCCCAUGCUUCUUGCUCUGUGCAGCUGCAGUUGUUAAAGGAUCCUCCAACAGACAGUGGGCAGAGAAGCAUUGUGAUGACUCUCCUCCCUGGCCCCAUCUCAUCAGUCCUGCAAUGUGUGCAAGGAGUCAUGCUGGUCUGCAGACCUCGCAUGGUAUCAUUCAGUGACCACAUCCCAUAGCGCUGAGCAUCGUGCCUUUGGAGGGGAGGUUUGGUUUUCUGGAUGUAAGACGCUCUGCUUCCUUUUCACCAAGGAUUAAAGCAACAGGAUGCUCUUCAUGUGCAUCACAUUCACUACUGCUGCUUUGCUGGGAGAACUGGUGGUGUUAAAGGCUGAGUUGAGUAUGAAGGCUCUUCCAAUGCGUCGUUCAGUCAGCUCAAAGCUUUAAUUGCUGUGCCUAAAAUGGGCUCUGUGGGUGAGGGAAGGGUUGUGUCAAGCUGUCAGGAGUGGCACCAUCACGGAAUGCACAGCCUGGCUCAUGUGGGGAUGUUAUCAAUAUUUCCUCUUGUAGAGGGGAUGAUACAGCAAACCCAGAGCAGCUGUCCGUCGCAUAACCCCCUUAUUCUCAUACAAAGUGGGGUUCAGGGUUUGCUCACAUCUGCCUUCUGCUGCAGAAUCCCUGCCUUUUGCAUACUAAAAACAAAGGAGACCUAUGCCUUCCUUCCCUUGGCACACAGCUAUCCUAUCCUGUUUGGGGUUCUUUUGUUUCUGCCUCCUUGCACACCAAGAAGUCUUCAAAGCAUCAGCAGGAUUCUGAGCAACCACUGCUUUCGUUCUUUUAGGUUUGUUUGUUGUUUUGUACAGCAAAUACCUUCAGGUAAACUUUGUAAAACCCUACUUAUAGUUCCAUUAAGGCCAUUCCUUCUCCUUUCGCACUCGUCUCAUUCUGCGUGCUUCUGUCAAAUGGAGGUCAGCAAAACGGCAGUGUGAAAUUUGGGACUGACUUUUUGGAUCUCCAUGUUUUCUCCUCUGUGGUUUUAAUAGGAGAUACCAGAGGCAACACUGAUCUGUGGAAGAUGUUGGGCACCCCGUGUGCUCUCAUAUCCAUAGCUGAGCACUGCAGAGCCGUUUUGUCACCGUAAGUGGAAACGUUUCAAACCUGAAGGACCUUUUUGUUUUGUCUAGAAAUCCCUCUAGAUCGUGGCAGCACUUGCUGUGUUUUGAUACCAGCUCAGCCUCUCAUUGGAAAUAAGUGUUCCACACAUGCUUUAUGCCUUCCCUUGAAAAGAACCACAUUCAUCAGAGAAUUUAUAUCCCCUUUAUCUGGGUGGUACAGUCACUGUAUGGGAUGGUUUGGUUAAGUCUGUGUAAUUACUGAGGUUGGUGACCUCCAACACCAUCCAGUCCUAAUGUCCACCCAGCCAUAAGGCCAUAGGACUUAUUCCAGUCCAUUUAUAGGUACUGUAUGGGGGUGAGAUACACCACAACUGUGUUAAGUGUGAAAUAUAUGGAUAGAAACAGCCGUUUUCUAGCUGCAGAGGCCAUCACUUGUGAUAAUUCUAUAGCAACACUACUGGGCAAUCAUGCCACCAAAAUGGUUAGCUCUGAAGGCAUACAAAUAUUAAUUUGAAAACUACAACAAGUGAAUUCAAAGCAAGUGAAGCAGCAGUGAAACGCAGCAGUGCUGUCUCGCGCUGAGCUCCAACUGCUCUGCUGCCUGCAAUAUCUGCAACCACAGCAGGAUCCUGGCUUCCCAGUCCUGUCUCCUUUCAGCAGAAGCUUUGCUGGUUAGCUGUGCACGUGAGGAGAACUCUGUGAGCGUUAACUGGAAGGAGUUUCUGGGGAAUCUAUUUGCUGUCUUUGUGAAGCUCCAUCCCCCUGUUCCCCUCGGUGUGGGCUCAUGGCAUGCUGUGAUGUGACAGGUGCCAUUGGCAGGCCCCACUGCAGCACCAUCUGCUCGGUGAUGGGGCACCACGUUCAGGUCUGGUUUCUGAGCUGAGCAGCCUGCAGGGCUGCUUUGAACUCUCCAUCCUCCCCAGCACCUCCGGUAGUCUGAUGUACCCCGUGCUAAGGUGGGAGCAGGAGGAAGGUUGGGUUUGGCAAUGGGAGGCAGCAGCUGUCUGUAAGCACCGCGCUGCUGCCUGCAUGAAGUGAGGAAGGCAGAAAUGCUUUCGUUUCUUUUGUUGUGUCUGGCAACGGUAGGAAAGAAUUAGAUUGAAGUGUGAACUACAGGUCGGUAGGCUUCUGUAGCUUCCAAGGGCCAUUCUUUCCUGGGUUAAUCUGUCAGAGCAAAUGCCUCAGUUGUGCUGGGUGAAAAGAGGAUGAUGUUUGAUGAUUAGCACAGAAGGUGGGCAGCAAGGCUCUUAUUCAUGGCUCUGACACUCACAGUGCCAGGGUCUUCAAUGGCAGCGUUACCCCCAUUUCCCAGCACUCCUGUUGGCUCAGUGACACCUCCCACACUGGGAUCCUUUCAGUCCAUUGGCUUUCUCCAUCCGCUUUCCCACUCCUCUUCAGCAGAAGACAGGCAGAGCUCUGCAGUGCCAGCAUGGUGUUUCCCACUUCUGUGGCUCCCUCCUCCCACCAGCGGGCAGCCCCAGCCCUCCCCAUUCCCCAGGAGGACCCCAGUUUUACUCCUCCCAGAGAUGGAGCUGGGAGGUGGAAACUGGAGCCUAUUGGACCUCAUCCUCACGGCACUCUCCUUUUUCCCUCUUUUUUUCUCUUCUUUUAAUUGCUCAGCACCGCCGUUGUCUCCUCACUGUCCUUUGAGACCUACAAAGCAUUUCCUGCUCGUGGUCACUUCUCUGUGCUGUAUCUGUUUUGUGUUGAGCUAAUUAAAAUGUUUCCUUCUGCAGAGCACGGUGAACUGCCUUACCCCGUAUCCAGACGCUGAUCCUCGGGGCAUGACUCUCUUUUUGUUUUCACUGAGAAUGUCUGUCUUCAUUUACAUCACCCGUUUAACCCUUGCAGUGCCGUGGCCUUCCGAGGGCCUGGCCCACAGCCCAGAAAUGGUGGGAUUCACCCCACGCUUCUCAGCAAAGUCUGUGUUAUUUUACUCUUGUAAGAGGAACAGUUUUGCUCGCAAGGAAACCUUAGGCUGAUGAUGGAGGACUGUAGGAAUGCUGCUCUUUGGACUCUUGAUCUCCCCUUAGCAAGAGGCUCAUGCUUUAAUAGAAUUGCUAGGUGCAGUGGAGAGCGUGGUAAAGAGGCUUAGAUAUGAGGAAAACCUUGAUGAGAAGCUGUGUUGCCCUCUGGGUCAAUGCUUGGAGAUUCACAGGUUGUUUUCACUCAGAAGCAGAAGGUGGUGCUGGAGGUGGCUGUGCCUUUGAUGCAGCCCUGUUUAUUUACAAAGCGUGGUUAAGGGAAAAAAAAGAAGAGUCCUGUUUCCCUGAAUCCAACAACGGGACUCGGUUUAGUUGCUUACGCUUCCAGAAUGCCUUCCAGUCAGCACCCAGCCCCACAGCUUCCUUUCUUUGCCUUUGGACACCACUUGCAGUGCUCCCAGCUGCCCUCCCUGGCCCUGCAGCAUGAAGCCCUCCUUUCACCCCGUGCCAUGCCCACUGUCUUGCUCUGCACUGCUUCCUCCGCACUCCCUUUGCUCAAAGCACUGUUGAACGUUCACCUCUGUUUAUCCAAAAAACAUGGGCUCUUUUUUUUUCCUUUGCGUGCAUUAGCAUCAACGUGGCUCAUCCAGCUGCCAGCACUGCAGCACAGAUGCCUGUUUCAGCUUUUGCAAGCUCAACCUGAGUGCAAGAGCAGCUGAUUUCCUUGCAGGUCUGCAUCCGUGGGAAUUAGCAGGGCAGGAGGCAACCUGUGCAUGGCUCUAGUGUGAGGAUUUGUGCCCCGCAUUCAUGUACUGGAUGGGGUACAUCAAACAGGGCUUUGUUCUCUCUAAUUGCAUUAUUUGGGGUGUGAAGGAUGGUUUGAGGCUCCAUUCUGACGGCGGGUGCAGGUGGCUGCAGCCUCAUCUGCUCCAUCCAUCCGACUGCCCUUCUCAGCAGCUCACACUGAGCCACCCCUUGGUGUGCAGAGUGAGGCAGCACUGCGUGCAGCCGUGCCACAGUGCUGAGCAAUGGAGCAAC